CUCACAAACUGAGGCACAGAGGGAUGCGGGCAGUUCUUGUUGUUGUGCUCAGUACGGGACAGAGCCUUGGCUGAAAAGAGAGUGUCAUCACCUUUGUCACACCACCUGAAGGUUGCUGACUGUCCUCUGAAGCCCGGGACAAGGAGAAAUCCUUCUGCCCAUGCUGCAGGUGGCUGAGCCAGAUGGAGCCUCUGAGAUUAGGAAGAGAUGUGCUCAGCCUGGGUCUGCCUUGCAGGGACAGCUUUCACAUCUGGGACUGACACCAGGGCUCCAAACCUUUACGCUGCUGCAAGGAUGGCACCUGGGCUUCCCCUGGCAGAUGAGUGUACCAGAAGCUGGUUGAGGAAAAUACGGUUUUAUUCAUGAUUCCAUAGAGAGCAUUUUACUGACAAAAAUCUUUUUUCACUGCACCUGUAAGCAAUGUAUUAAAAAUUAGAAUAAAAAUAAUUAGUACAAAAUAA